rnacentral:rRNA from 1 species
UACGUAGGGGGCAAGCGUUGUCCGGAUUUAUUGGGCGUAAAGAGCGUGUAGGCGGCCAGGUAGGUCUGCUGUGAAAACUCGAGGCUCAACCUCGAGACGUCGGCGGAAACCAUCUGGCUAGAGUCCGGAAGAGGAGAGUGGAAUUCCUAGUGUAGCGGCGAAAUGCGCAGAUAUCAGGAAGAACACCCGUGGCGAAGGCGGCUCUCUGGGACGGUACUGACGCUGAGACGCGAAAGCGUGGGGAGCGAACAGG